ensembl:misc_RNA
CAGGAGUUUUUUCUCCAGUGGGGACUGUUGGUAUACGGCAAUCCUAGGGUCUGGUGAUGCUUUAGCCCAGGCCAAA